GAUGAACGCUGGCGGCGUGCCUAAUACAUGCAAGUCGAGCGAACGGACGAGAAGCUUGCUUCUCUGAUGUUAGCGGCGGACGGGAGAGUAACACGUGGAUAACCUACCUAUAAGACUGGGAUAACUUCGGGAAACCGUAGCUAAUACCGGAUAAUAUUUUGAACCGCAUGGUUCAAAAGUGAAAGACGGUCUUGCGGUCACUUAUAGAUGGAUCCGAGCUGCAUUAGAUAGUUGGUAAGGUAACGGCCUACCAAGGCAACGAUGCAUAGCCGACGUGAGAGGAGGAUCAGUCAGACUGGAACUGAGACACGGUCCAGACUCGUACGGGAGGCAGCAGUGAGGAAUCUUCCACAAUGGGCGAAAGACUGAUGGAGCAACGCCGCGUGCAGGAUGAAGGCCUUCGGGUUGUAAACUGCUUUUAUAAGUGAGGAUUAUGACAGUAACUUAUGAAUAAGGAUCGGCUAACUACGUG
rnacentral:rRNA from 1 species